rnacentral:rRNA from 1 species
AGUUGCAAAGAACUUUGAAGAGAGAGUUCAAGAGUACGUGAAACUGCUCAGAGGCAAACGGGUGGGCCCUCGAAACCCCGAUGCGGGGGGAUUCAGUCGGAAGGCGAGGUGGCGUGCAUCCGGAAAUAGGCGGACGUCAGCGUCGCGCCGCCCGCAUCGUCUGCCCGUCGCCCGACGCACUUCCUCCCGCACUAGAGGACGCCGCAGCCGGUCGGGUACGUACAAGUCUGCCAUGAGGGAACGGACCGGCGGGUCUCCGGGGAGCGGCCUCCGCGCCGCCUCCUCGGAUGUUGGCCGCCGUUCCCGGUGCGGGACACCCGACCGAGGAAACGAAAGGUUCUGACUGGGUGUCGAACCUGCCGCGCCUUCCGUUUAAAAUGGAGCGGGAGUCUGAGUCUUGGGCGUUGCGAGCUGCGGACCGAUCCACUGCGAGCUCAGUGGCGGACCCUUCUAGCCCUCCGUAGGACUCGUCCGACCCGCUACGGUGGCGUCAGGCUUGCGGCGAGUAGGUCGGUCACCCACCCGACCCGUCUUGAAACACGGACCAAGGAGUCUAACAUGUGCGCGAGUCACUGGGUCUUGAACAGGCCCACGGGCGCAAUGAAAGUGACCGGUCACCGACCUAGGCAUUGAGUUGGGAUCCCUUCCAUUAAAUGGAGGGGCGCACCAACGGCCCGUCCCGACCGAUUCAUCGGUGGGCCGGAGCCGGAGCGCACACGUUGGGACCCGAAAGAUGGUGAACUAUGCCCGGGCAGAACGAGGUCAGAGGAAACUCUGGUGGAGGUUCGCAGCGGUUCUGACGUGCAAAUCGAUCGUCGGACCUGGG